rnacentral:rRNA from 1 species
UGAGGGAAAGGCGAAAAGAACCCCGGCGAGGGGAGUGAAAAAGAACCUGAAACCGUGUACGUACAAGCAGUGGGAGCACAGGUUUACCUGUGUGACUGCGUACCUUUUGUAUAAUGGGUCAGCGACUUAUAUUCUGUAGCAAGGUUAACCGAAUAGGGGAGCCGUAGGGAAACCGAGUCUUAACCGGGCGUUAAGUUGCAGGGUAUAGACCCGAAACCCGGUGAUCUAG